CUACGGACUACAAGAACUGCCAUUGCUGUAGGUUUUCCUUGGCGAGAGAGACUUUUUUCAAGUCAUAUUUCGCUUGGAUUAUGAAGAAGGGGUCGGUUUACACACAGGUCAUCAAUUCGAGAUUUUUGCAGUAUGAACAAUUUGGAUUCUUUGCGAAGUGGCAGCAAGACUUUUUCCCUCAAGACAACGAGUGUACUCGUCCGAGUCCAAGAGGUCCGCGUAGUCUGGGUCUCGAGGAUCUAGUGGGAUGUUUCACACUCCUCGGGACUCUUUUAGUAUUAG